UACAGAGGUCUCAAGCGUUGUUCGGAUUCAUUGGGCGUAAAGGGCUCGUAGGCGGUCUGUUGCGUCGGGGAGUGAAAACUUACAGCUUAACUGUGAGCGUGCUUUCGAUACGGGCAGGGCUUGAGUUCGGUAGGGGAGACUGGAAUUCCUGGUGUAGCGGUGAAAUGCGCAGAUAUCAGGAGGAACACCGGUGGCGAAGGCGGGUCUCUGGGCCGAUACUGACGCUGGAGGAGCGAAAGCGUGGGGAGCGAACAGG
rnacentral:rRNA from 1 species